rnacentral:tRNA from 2 species
GGCCCCUUAGCUCAGUGGUUAGAGCAGGCGACUCAUAAUCGCUUGGUCGCUGGUUCAAGUCCAGCAGAGGCCACCA